rnacentral:lncRNA from 8 species
AAAUGAUAAAGAUUCUACUUCAGUGUCUUCAUUCAUAACCUGCUCAUUUACUGGGGUUGUGUUGUGUGCUCACAUUUCUGUGUGAAUAUUUAAGUCAUUUCUUAUUCAAUAGUUUGAAGAAUACAAGUCAAAUAUUUGAGUAUAAAUUGCAGGCUGCCAUCCUGUUAUUGUUGAACAGUAUUUGUGUCAUCAUCACUCGGAAGUCCAACAGGAAAGAAAACGGAUUCUGUAAAUAGCCUGAAGUAAACGGUUUAUUCAAGGUUUGUGUCAGGGUUGCGGAACUGGUGGCAGUGAAGUCAGACGCAGGAGAGCAGAGAUAGGCAGACGCUGGGCUAGUCUGAGAACUCACAGCCGCAGACAUGAUCAUCAGACUGGGAUGCCUGACCCUUGGAUCCUUUCGUCUCCUCCAGAGACAGGUGUCAGUUGAAGUCCAGCUGCAGCCGCAGAACGGGUUAAUCAACCAGAUCGCCAUGAUGAUGGCCACGGUGGGCAUCAGUGUGUCCUUCUACAGCGCCUGGCAGAUGGUGGAUAGGGUCCGUCUCAAAGAGACAGCUCCCUGAACAGUCUGAGCCCUAACCAGGGUUGGAGAGUAACUGAUUACAUGUAAUUACAUUUUAAUCAGUUACAUGUAAUCUGACUACAAAUAAACUGUAACGGUAAUCAGUUACGUUACCAGCAAAAAUAUUGUAAUCAGAUUAGAUACUUUUGAAAAACUACAUAGAUCGUUACUUCUAGGAUUACUUUUAAUAUACACUGCUCAAAAAAAUAAAGGGAACACUUAAACAACACAAUGUAACUCCAAGUCAAUCACACUUCUGUGAAAUCAAACUGUCCACUUAGGAAGCAACACUGAUUGACAAUAAACUUCACAUGCUGUUGUGCAAAUGGAAUAGACAAUAGGUGGAAAUUAUAGGCAAUUAGCAAGACACCCCCAAUAAAGGAGUGGUUCUGCAUGUGGAGACCACAGACCACUUCUCAGUUCCUAUGCUUCCUGGCUGAUGUUUUGGUCACUUUUGAAUGCUGGCGGUGCUUUCACUCUAGUGGUAGCAUGAGACGGAAUCUACAACCCACACAAGUGGCUCA